rnacentral:rRNA from 1 species
AAUCAACGCUGGCGGCGUGCCUCAGACAUGCAAGUCGAAUGAUUAAGACUCCCUUCGGGGAGUGCAUAAAGUGGCGCACGGGUGAGUAACACGUAAGUAAUCUACCUUCGAGUGGGGAAUAACGUUCGGAAACGAACGCUAAUACCGCAUAAUGCAGCGGCAUCGCAAGAUGACAGUUGUUAAAGGAGCAAUCCGCUUGAAGAGGAGCUUGCGGCAGAUUAGCUAGUUGGUAAGGUAACGGCUUACCAAGGCUACGAUCUGUAUCCGGCCUGAGAGGGCGGUCGGACACACUGACACUGAAUAACGGGUCAGACUCCUACGGGAGGCAGCAGUCGGGAAUUUUGGGCAAUGGGCGAAAGCCUGACCCAGCAACGCCGCGUGAAGGAUGAAGUAUUUCGGUAUGUAAACUUCGAAAGAAUAGGAAGAAUAAAUGACGGUACUAUUUAUAAGCUCCGGCUAACUACGUGCCAGCCGCCGCGGUAACAC